UACGUAGGGGGCAAGCGUUGUCCGGAAUCAUUGGGCGUAAAGAGCGCGUAGGCGGUCCGGUAAGUCCGCUCUGAAAGUCCGGGGCUCAACCCCGGGAGGCGGGCGGAUACUGUCGGGCUAGAGUCCGGAAGAGGCGAGUGGAAUUCCUGGUGUAGCGGUGAAAUGCGCAGAUAUCAGGAGGAACACCAAUGGCGAAGGCAGCUCGCUGGGACGGUACUGACGCUGAGGCGCGAAAGCGUGGGGAGCAAAAGGG
rnacentral:rRNA from 1 species